UACGAAGGGGGCUAGCGUUGUUCGGAAUUACUGGGCGUAAAGCGCGCGCAGGCGGCCAUUCAAGUCAGGGGUGAAAGCCCAGAGCUCAACUCUGGAACUGCCCUUGAAACUGUAUGGCUUGAGUAUGAGAGAGGUGAGUGGAAUUCCCAGUGUAGAGGUGAAAUUCGUAGAUAUUGGGAAGAACACCGGUGGCGAAGGCGGCUACACUGGCUCAUUACUGACGCUCAGGCGCGACAGCGUGGGGAUCAAACAGG
rnacentral:rRNA from 1 species